CAGCUUGCCAUUACGACACCAGCAAAAGUGCGGCAUGUGACUCACCUCUGGAGGCCUCCUGCAGAGCCCAGCUGCUCCUUAACUCGGGCACCCAAUGUCAAAAUAUUCCUGUCCUGCACAGACUGUGUGGUGCCUUACUCACUGAUGGUGCUUUGAAGAGCAGGAGCUGUACUUUGGUGACACAAGAGAGUGCAAAGUGGCUGAAGGUGUCCGUCCGAUGGGAGAUCCAAGCUCCAGGAGAGGAAAAUCAGGCCUGAGCUUCAUUUAAGGAUUUUUAACAUCGAUGGAGUGUUAAAAAAGAGAUCUUAGCAGAAAGCUAAAUGAUGAGUCCUCUCAUAUGGUGUCUGCUUAAGAGACCUUAAGGUUCCAGGAUCCGAUGUGUUCAGGCAAACAGGGAAGCAGACUAGUUUCAACAUCCACGUCAUAAAUCAAGAGCCGUUAACGGAGUCCGGUACAUUAGGAAGCAAAUACAUUAGCAGAGAUUCACAGAGCUUG
rnacentral:lncRNA from 1 species